CAGACUACACAACCCUGCCUAGCCCUUGGUGUGUCUGUCCCUAGUGGCACACUAUAUAGUGCACUAGUUUUGACCAGAAGUGGCACACUAUAUAGUGCACUAGUUUUGACCAGAAGUGGCACACUAUAUAGUGCACUAGUUUUGACCAGAAGUGGCACACUAUAUAGUGCACUAGUUUUGACCAGAAGUGGCACACUAUAUAGUGCACUAGUUUUGACCAGAAGUGGCGCACUAUAUAGUGCACUAGUUUUGAUCAGAAGUGACACACUAUAUAGUGCACUAGAUUUGACCAGAAGUGGUGCACUAUACAGGGUUCCAUUCAGGAUACACCCUUCGUAAUAAGAACAGUUCCUCCAUGCAGGUUUUAAAUACAUCUUCUGACUCUUUCAUACAAUGAGCUUUUCCCUGUAGAGCAGAAAGCUGAAAGGUCAUAUUAUGAAAGGCGUCACAAACACCAGCAGAGGUUGGGGCUAGAAGGUUCUAUCUACAUAUACUACACAGUACUCUAAAUACAAUGUUCUCUACAUAUACUACUCUAAAUACAAUGUUCUCUAUAUAUACUACUCUAAAUACAAUGUUCUCUAUAUAGUACUCUAAAUACAAUGUUCUCUAUAUAGUACUCUAAAUACAAUGUUCUCUAUAUAUACUACUCUAAAUACAAUGUUCUCUAUAUAGUACUCUAAAUACAAUGUUCUCUACAUAUACUACUCUAAAUACAAUGUUCUCUAUAUAUACUACUCUAAAUACAAUGUUCUCUAUAUAGUACUCUAAAUACAAUGUUCUCUAUAUAGUACUCUAAAUACAAUGUUCUCUACAUAUACUAUAUAGUACUCUAAAUACAAUGUUCUCUAUAUAGUACUCUAAAUACAAUGUUCUCUACAUAUACUAUAUAGUACUCUAAAUACAAUGUUCUCUAUAUAUACUAUAUAGUACUCUAAAUACAAUGUUCUCUACAUAUACUAUAUAGUACUCUAAAUACAAUGUUCUCUACAUAUACUAUAUAGUACUCUAAAUACAAUGUUCUCUAUAUAUACUAUAUAGUACUCUAAAUACAAUGUUCUCUACAUAUACUAUAUAGUACUCUAAAUACAAUGUUCUCUAUAUAUACUACAUAGUUCUCUAAAUACAAUGUUCUCUACAUAUACUACAUAGUACUCUAAAUACUAUAUUUUCCACAUAUACUACACAGUACUCUAAAUACUAUGUUCUCUACAUAUACAGUACUCUAAAUACAAUGUUCUCUACAUACACUACGUAUAUAAUACUCUAAUAUACACUAUGUAUAUAGUACUCAAUUCAUGAGUACCACAAUUCCCAUAGCCAACACCGUUCAAACCAAUGAGGGUUCAGAACUCGAAAGCCAAUUAUCUCAGAAUGAUCUUUUUGCAGAUAGACCCUUCUAGUCCUCAGCUCUCGAUAUGCUGUAUAAGGCUUCAAUACAUCUUAUUAGUUAUACAGUAGUACCUUUCAUCGGCUUUAAAACAUCCCCAA
rnacentral:lncRNA from 1 species